UGCCCAGCAAAUCCUAUCCCUACCUCCACGCGGUACCGGCCGGAAACUAUGAGCAAUCUUAGGGAAGA
rnacentral:ribozyme from 1 species